AUGGGCUUCUUGCCGAUGAUGUACGCAUCACUCUCUCUGCUGCUACUAGGAUCACUAGGAAAGCUAAUGGUGCUAGCAUCUGGAGUUGUAACAAGCCACAGCCCUGAAGGGAAUUGGGCACAUCCAUCACUUGCCACACUUGAUGGUUGCCCCAAGAGCUGUGGCAAUCUGAGCUUCGACUACCCCUUUGGCAUCGGUUCAAGGUGCUCUCGGGAUCCUGACUUCAACCUCAUUUGCAACGACACAGCUAAGCCCCCCAGGCUGUUCUUGUGCGACAGCAUCACCGAGGUGAUCGACAACAUCGACGUUGGUAGCGGUGGGGAUUCCUACCACACUCACAAAAGCAUCAGUACCUCCUUCUGGCGUACCAUCCCCAUGAAAUCUGGUGUCCAUGUCUACUACUUGUCUUUCCAACCUCCUGGUAGAUCCUUCAGCCGUGGGGAAACCAUUCUGAACAUCACUGGUUGCGACCUGGAUGUGUAUUGGGUCAACAGCAACACACACAGAACAACAUGGAUCUGUACGACUGUGUGCCCGGACCAAGUUAUCACAGAGACCAUGGCUAGGCUCAACUGCAGUGGCAUCGGAUGUUGCAGUUUUCCUAUGACAGGCCUGCUUCCUGUUGCUUUUCAGCUCAAAUUUGUCCACCACCACGGCAAAACUAGCACCGGAACACGCUCAAACCAGACCUCUAUGCUGUGGGAUAGAAUCAGCAUAAGUGACGGUGGCGGCGGCACAGUUUUGUGGAAUAUAGUGGAUCAACAAAAUUGUGCUAGCGCCGUGCGAAACAGGACAGCGUAUGCUUGUAUCGGCAAGCAUUCCUUGUGCGGCGACUAUAGCGUGACAUCAACCGACGGCUACAACUGCAUCUGCAGUGCCGGCUAUGCAGGCAACCCCUUCAUUCAAGAUGGCUGUUCCAGAGACAAAGGGUAUAAUCCAAUUCCGAGCAGAGCUAAUUGUACCCGUUGGUGUGGUAACAUUAGGGUGCCAUACCCAUUCGGCUUAGAAGAGGGUUGCUUUGCCAGGGAACAAUUCCAACUCAACUGUUUUUGGUCAAAUUUGACAUCAUCAGCUGUCCUCAUGUUUGAGUUUCAAGAGGUAAUGAACCUGAAUGUUAACGAAGGGACCAUUAAGGUAAGAUCUUACCAACCACAAUACGAGAUAUUUCCAGGGCCUCCGGUUUUUGUUCGACAUGGCUACAUCCAUUCUAUGGAGUGGGUUGCAGCUAAUCUAAGUUGCGUAGAGGCCCAACAGAAUAUAUCUGGUUAUGCUUGUGUGAGUAUCAAAAGCAAGUGCUUGGCAUUAAAUGUUGAAAUUUACUCUGGUCAAAGUCACUACAUUGGUUACCGCUGCAAAUGCUCAGAUGGCUUCCAAGGAAAUCCAUAUGCCAAAAAUGGCUGUCAAGAUAUUAAUGAAUGCCUUCAACCAAACAUCUGUAAAGGGAACUGCCAUAAUAUUGAAGGAAGCUUCUAUUGUACCGAUUGUCCUCCCCAUACUGAGUACGAUCUAGACAAAAUGCAGUGUAUUUUCAUUGGGUUGUCUGGUGGCUUUGGCAUUCUAGCUCUGAGUUUUAGUGCAGUAUUUUUAAUUCGUAGAUGGAAAAUAAAUGUUCAACAGCAACUACGGAAGAAGUAUUUUCGGAAGAACCAAGGUCUUCUCCUAGAAACGUUGAUAUCAUCUGAUGAAAGUGCAAAUGACAAAACAAAGAUUUUCUCGUUAGAAGAUCUAGAAAAAGCAACAAAUAACUUCGAUCCUACACUUAUCAUCGGCUCUGGGGGGCAUGGCAUGGUUUAUAAAGGCAUAUUAUCUGAUCAGUCUGUUGUUGCAAUAAAAAAGUCUAAGGUCAUCAAGCAGUGUGAGAUUAGUCAAUUCAUCAAUGAGGUUGCAGUCCUGUCUCAGAUAAAUCACAGAAAUAUUGUAAAGCUCUUCGGAUGUUGUCUUGAAACGGAGGUUCCACUCUUGGUGUAUGACUUUGUAUCCAGUGGCUCAUUAUCUCAAGUUCUUCAUGCUGAUUCAAGUGAUGGUUUUUCUUUGUCUUGGAGUGAUUACUUGAGGAUUGCCCUGAAAACAGCAGGAGCUCUAUCAUAUCUCCACUCUUCAGCUUCAAUAUCAAUCUUCCAUCGUGAUGUGAAGUCCUCAAAUAUUCUCCUGGACGAGAACUACACAGCUAAAGUUUCAGAUUUUGGUGCUUCUAGACUGGUUCCAAUUGAUCAAACACACAUUGUUACCAAUGUGCAAGGUACAUUUGGGUACUUAGAUCCAGAGUAUUUCCAUACCAGACAGCUGAACAGGAAGAGCGACGUGUACAGUUUUGGUGUGGUACUUGUGGAGUUGCUUCUCAGAAUGAAACCUAUUUUCACGAGCACAUCAGGCACCAUACAGAACUUGUCAAGCUACUUCCUCCAGGAGUUUCGUGAGGGAAGGAUAACAGGUAUUGUCAACUCUCAGAUCCUCGAGGAAGCAAGUGAGGAAGAGAUCAACAAUGUUGCCAGUAUUGCUGAGGCAUGCUUAAGACUGCGCGGUGCAGAAAGACCCACCAUGAAACAAGUUGAGGUGAAAUUGCAGAUUCUACGAACCAAAAGGACGAAGUUAUGCCAAGUGGAUCCAAUAAAUGAAGAACAAAUGCAGUCAAGAUUACAAACUCGAAGAGCUAGAGUUGCUCUCCAGUCGUCUACGAUGCAUUUGGGUGACAGAAUCAAGUUACGGUCAAGAGACAACCAAUGA
rnacentral:rRNA from 1 species